GACGAACGCUGGCGGCGUUCCUAAUACAUGCAAGUAGGCCGCAGUUGCGAACGGGUGAGUAACGCGUAGGUAACUACCUAUUAGAGGGGUAUAACUAUUGGAAACGAUAGAUAAUACGGCAUAUGAGUAGAUGGACCUGCGUUGUAUUAGCUAGUCGGUAGGGUAAAGGCCUACCUAGGCAACGAUACAUAGCCGACCUGAGAGGGUGAUCGGCCACACUGGGACUGAGACACGGCCCAGACUCCUACGGGAGGCAGCAGUAGGGAAUCUUCGGCAAUGGGGGGAACCCUGACCGAGCAACGCCGCGUGAGUGAAGAAGGUUUUCGGAUCGUAAAGCUCUGUUGUUAAGGAAGCGGUACUUAACCAGAAAGGGACGGCUAACUACGUGCCAGCAGCCGCGGUAAUAC
rnacentral:rRNA from 1 species